UACGAAGGGUGCAAGCGUUACUCGGAAUUACUGGGCGUAAAGCGUGCGUAGGUGGUUUGUUAAGUCUGCUGUGAAAUCCCCGGGCUCAACCUGGGAAUGGCAGUGGAUACUGGCGGGCUCGAGGCAGGUAGGGGAGAGUGGAAUUCCCGGUGUAGCGGUGAAAUGCGCAGAUAUCGGGAGGAACACCGGUGGCGAAGGCGGCUCUCUGGGCCUGUCCUGACGCUCAGGCGCGAAAGCUAGGGGAGCAAACAGGG
rnacentral:rRNA from 1 species